rnacentral:tRNA from 1 species
AAAUUUGAAGCGAUUUAUUGCAAUUAGUUUCGACCUAAUUUUAGGUGAAAAUUCACCCUUAUUUU